rnacentral:lncRNA from 1 species
AAAUUAACAAGACUUGAUGAGAAAUAUGCUAUUCUUUUACUGAAAGUAAAUUGUUAUUUGCAACAUAAAUAUGGUACUGACCCAUAUAGUACAGGUUCUUUUGAAUUUAGUAUGCCUGUUAUUUGAUCACUCAAUUCUUGGUCUACUUUUCUCUAUUAGAAUCAUUUUGCAACCUCAGGUAACAUCUCUGCUGGUCUUGGUGAGCUACCUGGUGGUGUAAAGCCCCACUCUCCUUCCCAAGAGGUUAGAGUUCCUGGUAAUUGUACCCUUCUCAGGCUAGGGUUGCUACACUUCUCCAUUCAUAGUCACAGCUGGGACAAAGAAGAAACCAGGAGGUACCAAGCAGAUCCCCUGAAUUUCGCACUUACUCCACCUUGCUGUGAUUGUGUCACACAUCCCUACAUCUCCUGCUUGUCAUGGUCAUUUACCUGGGACGAGAUGAUGACUCCUUUCCAUGACUGCUGGUCACUAGACACAAGGAUCUCCAAGAGUCCAGGUGGCAUCUGUGUUGCCUGGCAAGAGUGGGCUUCCUGCAGAGCCCAGAGUUGAGAGGAUGGAAAGCUUCAAAGUCUCCUAAUGGGUCAUUGGGAAUGAUGGAAAAUGGGGCCACUCCGGCUUCCACACUUGGUUCCUGACCCCAGGUAUUAUUCUUACUGCAAACACAGAAAAGUGUAAAGUUGUCUGAUUCAAAACAUAUUGCAUCCUAGAAAAAUGGUGCCUUACUCUUACAGGAUAUUGCCUCCAAGCUGGUGCUUCAACUGUGUCUUUAGAAGACCAUUCCAUUACUCUAUCAGGCUGACAACUUCUGGGUGGUGCUGACGUGUAGUGUGAGAAGUUGGUUUUAUUGUAGCCAUUUUACUGCCACCAGCAGGGAAACCCUGAAACUUCCAGGAAGCGGCAUUGCGAGGAUUAAAUGGAGUGAAGCACGUAAAGGAUUUAGUACACUGCUUGCUGCAGAAUAAGAGCUUAGAGGACAUGGAGAGGAAGGAGCCAGCACAAGAGCACACAAGCAACGCUAUCCAUCUGUCUUCUUUUCUGUACAAGCUGAGGGCUCCUCAAGAACUGCCCUAAGUGCUUUAUAUGUUUAUCUCCCUUAAUCCUCAUAACAGUUUUGACUUUUCCAGAAUGUCAUAUAGUUGGAGUCAUACAACUAUAAAGCUAGAGUUUUCACUUCUUCCUACCCCUAGUUCCAAGGGAGCCAACAGACUCUGAGGCCUGUGUUCACUCCUUCUCUAGCAGAGCCAACAGACCCAGGUGGAGAAAAUCUAUAUGCAACAAGAUUCAUAAGGAACUAGAAGAGAGGGGAAGUGCCUUUUCAGAAUUCGGAGGGAAGUGGUGACACCAGUAGGAUGAAGGGAUAAAAGAGGAGAGGACUGUAGGCAUUGCUGGAGAGAAUGGAGAGAGUGUAGGACAGCAGGCAGGGCUCUGUGCUUGGCAUCCUUUCUCCAGAGGUCCUGGUGGGAAGGAGGUCUUCCUCCUUCAAGUAGUGCAAAGGAAUGAAGUAGUUGCAUUGGAGGUUACAGGGGUACUAGGUGG